CGGCGGAUAGUUCAGUAUGGAUAGAACAAUAGAAAAUUCGCAGGUUCGAAUCCUGCAGUCGA
rnacentral:tRNA from 2 species